ACGGAUAACAUACCGAAAGGUAUGCUAAUACGGGAUAAUAUAUUUGAGAGGCAUCUCUUAAAUAUCAAAGGUGAGCCAGUACAGGAUGGACCCGCGUCUGAUUAGCUAGUUGGUAAGGUAACGGCUUACCAAGGCGACGAUCAGUAGCCGACCUGAGAGGGUGAUCGGCCACAUUGGAACUGAGACACGGUCCAAACUCCUACGGGAGGCAGCAGUGGGGAAUAUUGCACAAUGGGCGAAAGCCUGAUGCAGCAACGCCGCGUGAGUGAUGAAGGCCUUCGGGUCGUAAAACUCUGUCCUCAAGGAAGAUAAUGACGGUACUUGAGGAGGAAGCCCCGGCUAACUACGUGCCAGCAGCCGCGGUAAUACGUAGGGGGCUAGCGUUAUCCGGAUUUACUGGGCGUAAAGGGUGCGUAGGCGGUCUUUCAAGUCAGGAGUGAAAGGCUACGGCUCAACCGUAGUAAGCUCUUGAAACUGGGAGACUUGAGUGCAGGAGAGGAGAGUGGAAUUCCUAGUGUAGCGGUGAAAUGCGUAGAUAUUAGGAGGAACACCAGUUGCGAAGGCGGCUCUCUGGACUGUAACUGACGCUGAGGCACGAAAGCGUGGGGAGCAAACAGGAUUAGAUACCCUGGUAGUCCACGCUGUAAACGAUGAGUACUAGGCGUCGGGGGUUACCCCCUUCGGUGCCGCAG
rnacentral:rRNA from 1 species